CGUCAUGAAAAACGAUCCCUUUUUAUCUUCCCCUCGACUUGUAUCUUUCCCCUGGACUUACUCGAGAUAGACUAUUGAUUUAAUGCACCGCACCGGGGCAUAUGUAUUCAAAAGGUGCAUUAUACCGGUAUUCUCGUCGAACACGCGCCGUUUCGAGAAUCGUAGGAUAUGGUUAAUAAAUAGUACGCGACAUUUAUGGUAUAAAUAAUUUACAUAAAUAGAUAAGCUAGAUAAAUCUAUACAUGAUUUCAAAAUGGAAUGUAAGUCAAGAAAAAUUAUAAAAGCGGCAAAAAUUAUUACGCUCUAUAUAUAAUAUGACGAUUCGUUUGAACAAUGGAGUAUCAAGUGACACGUCUGAUGAAUGAGGUUUUUAAGUCAACGGAUAUCCGUCGCCGUGGACCAACGAUCUUGAAAACCACUAUAAACGCGAUUUAGCGGAGAAAGAUUUUUCGGGAGGAGACUUUUCGCAAGAUUGUUAUUUAAAAGCGGGCUCGCGCGUCAACGUCGGCUAGUUCCAAGGAGCACUUCGGGACCCUAACACGAUAAAGUGGCUACGAUAAGAUAUUACGUUCAUUCUCCGUCGCGCAUUACGAGCCUUUGAUUCCAUGCUACUUACUGGUUCGAUAUAAAUUAUUACCUCGUAUAUACGGAACGUAUUGUUCAAACUCACUUUGUAUGUAUUUUCCGCAAGAUAUACUCCCGCGUUACACUUGCAAAAAGCAUGUUAUACACCAUACAUAUGUAUUUAACUGCAAUAAGCAAAAAAACGACACUCUACUCUAAAUUUCAAAGAGGGAUCCCACAAAUUGCCUUUUAUCUACUUACACGGAAAGAACAAUUUUACUGAAAUAUGUAAAAAUUAGGUAGAUACAGAUCUGAAAAUAAAUUUUGGACCAUCAAAAUUAUGCAGGAAACUCGAGCACGAGGAGCAAUGCUGCAAAAAGUUUUGACAUUCUCGCAACCAGCUCGAGUCCUACAUAACUAUUUUUACAAUCUAAUAAAAUUAAUUUCAGCUCUGAAUUCAGCUAAAUUCUUAGAUACUUCAACAAAACCGUUCUUUCCGUGAAUAAUUUUAUCAGUUAUAAUUGCAAUAGAGAUAUCUAAAUCUUGCGAAUAUCAGUUAUUUUUUAGACUCCAUUGAUAAGUAGGUAUUGAUAAGCGAGACUCAGAUUUGUCUAAAAAUUCCGCACUGUUCACCCGAGAAGAAGGAGAUAAGCAAAAGGGAGCACAAGGCCAGCGAUCACGAUCGAAAUCGCGAUAUUACGUGUAAACUGCGCUCCGGGACGAAGUUCGAUUUUAUGGCGACGACUACGAGCGUCCAUAAAUCAUACUUCGCUUCUGAUAGUCCGGCGAAGCCAUGAGUCAAGUCCUCGAUAGCCUGUGGGCACGACAGUCUGUUUAGACGCUAUAUAAUCGGAAAAUCGUUCAGGACGGAUCAAACGCGGCACGAACGUUUAAUCGAAGAAGAGAAGAUUUUAGUAUGAAAGAAUGACGACGGUGACGCGGCGUAUUUUUUCUCCCCAUCUCGUAAAUAAUGUUUAGAAGAACUUCAAUAAAUUGCGCAAAAUUUGUGCCAAAUUUGGAUCGAAAAUAAUCAAAAAGUAAAGUAAAAUGCAUUUAAUGUGAAUAUCGCACAAAAAGAAUUGUGGUUUUGUUCUAUCCAAGCAAUUCAAAGCGUGACUUUAUAAAUAAAGUAUUCUUAAAGCAAUAUUCUUUAUUCAAAAUAUGUAAAAUCAUUCAAUUUCACCCGCGAGAACAUUUAUAGAUAUUUCACUGAAUUAUUUAUGAUCGUAUUUUUCGAUUGCGCCGUUUUGUGCAGUAUUUAGUAAUUUUAUUGACAGCAGCUUUUAUUUUUUGGCAGUAUUGUCGAUAUGUUUAAGAAAAUCCGAGACGCGGAUUUACACAAUUUGUGA